AGUUUUAAACCAUACUCUUCAUUGAGCUGCAUAACCGUUUGAACUGAACCCUUGCCGAAACUAUCCGUGCCCAUGAUGAUUGCCCUUCCUUGGUCUUGGAGGGCGCCUGAAACAAUUUCCGAAGCAGACGCAGAGCCGCCAUUGAUUAGCACUAUAACGGGCUUGCCGUUAAGUUCAUCUCCAGGUGUUGCGCUAAAUCGUAGUUGAGAGCUUUUGAUACGCCCUUCAGUAUAAACAAUUAACCCAUCAUCUAGCAGGCUAUCAGAAACCGCUACCGCCGCCUGUAAUACGCCACCCGGAUUGUUUCG
rnacentral:ncRNA from 1 species